rnacentral:rRNA from 1 species
GACGAACGCUGGCGGCGUGCUUAACACAUGCAAGUCGAACGGAAAGACCCUGCUUUUGUGGGGUGCUCGAGUGGCGAACGGGUGAGUAACACGUGAGUAACCUGCCCUUGACUUUGGGAUAACUUCAGGAAACUGGGGCUAAUACCGGAUAGGAGCUCCUGCUGCAUGGUGGGGGUUGGAAAGUUUCGGCGGUUGGGGAUGGACUCGCGGCUUAUCAGCUUGUUGGUGGGGUAGUGGCUUACCAAGGCUUUGACGGGUAGCCGGCCUGAGAGGGUGACCGGCCACAUUGGUACUGAGAUACGGCCCAGAAGCCUACGGGAGGCAGCAGUGGGGAGUAUUGCACAAUGGGCGGAAGCCUGAUGCAGAAACGCCGCGUGCGGGAUGACGGCCUUCGGGUUAUAAACCGCUUUCGCCUGUGACGAAGCGUGAGUGACGGUAAUGGGUAAAGAAGCACCGGCUAACUACGUG